GGGGAUAUUGGCAAUAUGGUUAUCUUCGAGGGCAUGAAGGCAAGCAGCAGCUUCCUCAGGUGUCUAGCCCCCUCACAAGGGUUUUUGGUGCACAGCUACUGGCUAAUGCAGCAGCUGACAAGAACAAGAAAUGUUUUGGUGCUGUGAAUGUGGAUGGAGUUGCUGCUGCAAAUGGAGGUGCCUAGAAAGCCUCCUUCUCAG